GACAGAGGAUGCAAGCGUUAUCCGGAAUGAUUGGGCGUAAAGCGUCUGUAGGUGGCUUUUUAAGUCCGCCGUCAAAUCCCAGGGCUCAACCCCGGACUUGCAGUGGGUACGGGCAGACUAGAGUGUGGUGGGGGAGACUGGAAUUCCUGGUGUAGCGGUGAAAUGCGCAGAUAUCAGGAGGAACACCGGUGGCGAAGGCGGGUCUCUGGGCCGAUACUGACGCUGAGGAGCGAAAGCGUGGGGAGCAAACAGG
rnacentral:rRNA from 1 species